rnacentral:rRNA from 1 species
CUACGGGGUGCUGCAGUGAGGAAUUUUGCGCAAUGGGGGAAACCCUGACGCAGCAACGCCGCGUGAGCGAAGAAGGCCCUCGGGUCGUAAAGCUCUGUCAAGUGGGAAAAAAAUUUUUUGAUCAAUAGUCAAAAGACUUGAUGGUACCACUGGAGGAAGCACCGGCUAACUCCGUGCCAGCAGCCGCGGUAAUACGGAGGGUGCAAGCGUUGUUCGGAUUUACUGGGCGUAAAGAGCGUGUAGGCGGUUUAGCAAGUCAGAUGUGAAAGCCCUGGGCUCAACCCGGGAAGUGCAUUUGAACUGCAUCACUAGAGGAUGGGAGAGGAGAUUGGAAUUCCUGGUGUAGAGGUGAAAUUCGUAGAUAUCAGGAGGAACACCCGUGGCGAAGGCGAUUCUCUGGACCAAUACUGACGCUGAGACGCGAAAGCGUGGGGAGCAAACAGGAUUAGAUACCCGUGUAGUC